UGCCAGCAGCCGCGGUAAUACGAAGGUGGCAACCGUUGUUCGGAAUCACUGGGCAUAAAGAGCACGUAGGCGGGAGAUCAAGUCGGGUGUGAAAUCCCUCGGCUCAACCGAGGAACUGCGCCCGAAACUGAUUUUCUUGAGGACAGGAGGGGAGCGUGGAAUUCCUGGUGGAGCGGUGAAAUGCGUUGAUAUCAGGAGGAACACCGGCGGCGAAAGCGCAUCACUGGGUCUUUUCUGACGCUGAGGCACGAAAGCUAGGGUAGCGAACGGGAUUAGAUA
rnacentral:rRNA from 1 species